GUAUAGUUUAACUAGUAAAUUAAAGUCUAGGUAAGAAUUCUUCGAUUUUCUAGGGGACGAUAAGACCCUAGAAGCUUUAAAAAAGAAAAAUUUUUAGUGGUUGUAUUGUAUUUUUACUGGGGCGGUAUUAGUGUUUUAACUAUUAGUGAUAAAGAUUGAUCCUUAAUAUAAAGAUAAUUCGGCGAAGUUACUCUAGGGAUAACAGUGCGGUAUUUUUGGAAAGGCCUUAUUAAUAAAAAUGUUCGCAACCUCGAUGUUGAAUUAAGAUGUCUACAUGGGGUAGUAAAUAUGGUAGAGGGUUUGUUCAACCUUUAUAAUCUUACAUG
rnacentral:rRNA from 1 species